GGGGGCGUAGCUCAGCUGGUUAGAGCGCCUGCUCGACAAGCAGGAGGUCACUGAUUCGAGUUCAGUCGUCCCCACCA
rnacentral:tRNA from 1 species